rnacentral:rRNA from 1 species
UACGUAGGGUGCGAGCGUUGUCCGGAAUUACUGGGCGUAAAGAGCUCGUAGGUGAUUUGUCGCGUUGUUCGUGAAAUCUCACGGCUUAACUGUGAGCGUGCGGGCGAUACGGGCAGACUAGAGUACUGCAGGGGAGACUGGAAUUCCUGGUGUAGCGGUGGAAUGCGCAGAUAUCAGGAGGAACACCGGUGGCGAAGGCGGGUCUCUGGGCAGUAACUGACGCUGAGGAGCGAAAGCGUGGGGAGCGAACAGG